rnacentral:rRNA from 1 species
UACAGAGGAUGCAAGCGUUAUCCGGAAUGAUUGGGCGUAAAGCGUCUGUAGGUGGCUUUUUAAGUCCGCCGUCAAAUCCCAGGGCUCAACUCUGGACAGGCGGUGGAAACUACCAAGCUGGAGUACGGUAGGGGCAGAGGGAAUUUCCGGUGGAGCGGUGAAAUGCGCAGAUAUCAGGAGGAACACCAAUGGCGAAGGCAGCACUCUGGGACGUGACUGACGCUGAGACGCGAAAGCGUGGGGAGCAAACAGG